UGGUGACUUUGAUGCCUGUCACAUUUUCGUGACGACGAAAGAGUAUUCACCCCAAUGGAAUGUUGUAGAAUACUAGGCCUACAGAAAAAAGAAUUCAUUCGUUAGAUUUUUUCACAUGGAUAUAGAUUCGAAAUAAUUGCCAAUAGGUUUGUAUUGGAUCGGUAGCUUUUUACAGGUGAAAUUUCCUAUAUCUAUUCUUAUUAACCUAAAAUCCUUAAAACAAUAUUAUUCUAAAAUGUCACAUAGUUCACCACAGCUUUCAAUGAACCAUCAAUUCUGUCUAAAUCUUGAAUUAGUUAUUGAGCAGUUUGCUGAAUUAUCCAUCCAUGAAAAUCAACAUGACACAAGCAGUCCACAACAUGAUGUUCAGCUUUUGAGAAAUCAAUGUGCCAAAAUUUUAAAUAGAUCCAAAGAUGACUAUAAAAUCAACUCAACCUCACAGAUUGAGUUUAAACAUGUGAUCCUGGCUAAUUGUGAAGAAAUAAGGACUAUUAAACGAACAAUAGUUUUAGAUGGCAGCUUUCAUGAUAAUAAACAGCUUCUAGAACCAGGUCAAUACCAAAUUAUUAGACCUAAAAUUAACGGUCAACCCAUCGAUCAUUGUUCACUGCUGAAUGUUCGAGAAAAUGACAUGGAUGAAUAUUUUGACCCAUUCGGCUAUCCACCGCCCAAAUGGAUAAAAAAUUGUCGUUAUAAUUUUAUAUGCCUUCAAAAUCCAUCCCAUAAAACCUGUGCAGUUCAUUGCAUGUGUGUUCUGAAGUUCUGGAAUCAAGGACUGACACUGCCACAAAUUAUUGAGCAAUACCAUGACCUACAGCCAGAUUUAAAUACUGACUACUACGAUGAUGUCGUCAUAGAUUUUUACUUGAGAGAAUUACGAUAUAAGUUAAAUGAUUACUGCUAGGUGAAAUGGUUUGAAAACUCAGGGUAGGAUGUGUAAUUUGGUGCAAUCUGAGAUAUAUUCGGCACAUGCCAAAAUUCCUAUUAGAGAAGCCUAUUACUUCCUUAGUUUACCUGCCAUCAUCACGUCAAUGCUGAAGUCACGGUCAAGAUUGCGAAGAUUAUCUUUAUACAAAAUAUUACUGCCAGUUUGACGGAGAUGUUAAUUUGGGGAGAUCCAAGCAAAUGAUUUAAAAAUUAAAUAAAAACAAAAUGAAAAUACGACAAAUAUAGAUUCUGCUAAAUCAAAAGAUAUCACUCUUAAUGGUAGAGUCAAUAAAAUGAAUAGAACAUUGGGAAAUAAACCCAAUAAGAUAAAUAGAAAAUUGGGUAAAUAAACCCAAUAAAAUAAAUAGAAAACUGGGAAAAAAGCAAACUGAAAAUACGACAAAAAUAAGAUUCUGCUAAAUAAAAAGAUAUCACUCUUAAUGGUAGAGUCAAUAAAAUAAAUAGAAAAUUGGGAAAUAAACCCAAUAAGAUAAAUAGAAAUCUGGGAAAUAAACCCAAUAAAAUAAAUAGAAAACUGGAAAAAAAAAACAAUAGAAAAUUAGGAAAUAAACCCAAUAGAAAACUGGGAAAUAAACCCAAUGUAAAUAAGAUGUCAUUCAGACGCGUCGUCAUUUCAUUAUUUGAUAGGCUAAAGUCAAUACCACGUGCAGUCGAUAAUUUUACACGUGCAUUGUUGAAGAUUGUUACGGUUAUGACGCAGAUUGCGAUGGGCGUUUAACAUAAUACAGUGGAGAAGAUCUAAAGUUCUAGCAAGAAAGCAAGAUAAAGAAAUACAACUAUAACGCCACCGCUAAGGCUUGCUUUCCAUGUACGCUUUUCCACGCGCGUGGGAAAAAAGUUGCUAUACCCUUAAUAUCAUAUUAUCAGAGAAGAAUGUCAGAAUCAAUGAGACCUCUAGUCUAGCAUGGUAGCUAGUAUACGACUCUGUAUGUAUAGGCUAUAUUAAUGAUACCCGAUGUGUAAUCUGUUUUGCUGUGUACAGAAGAUCCAGUUCCACUCUUAUACUGAACUGUGUAAUGAUUCAAGCUUUCACUCGACAUCUUGUACAAUGUAAUAAAGCCAUAUACAAUAUCAAGUCAAUAUUCAAUGAUUCCAAUCUACUGAAACAGAAAUGGAAAAUGGUCAAGUUUUAAGAAGAAACCCUUACCAAUCCUGACCAAUGAACACUCCUAAUGUCAUCUAUUGAAAUAAAAUGCACCAUGAUCUAGUUUGUAUUUUAAACUCUCUCUCUCUCUCUCUCUCUCUAAAUUGAAAAAUCGUACUUCCCCCUCCACUAUUGUGGAGAAGGGUUGAGUAGCCGACUCGCAGCAAAUAAGAGUUCACACUGUCUUGAAAUCAUACCAUAAUUAUUUCAUGUGGACGCAUUAUGUCUACCUGUCUACUUGUAAAUUGGACACUCAUUAUCAAAAAUAAUCAGUCAGCUUUAAACUGGACACAAGUACAAAUUAUAAUUAGAUGAUUUUUGGUGAUUUUAAAUGAUUUUUACAAAUUUUUAAACAAAAAUUUGAUAUUAAACAUAUGUGAAAGAAAUUAGUGCUAGAUACACAAGAUUAAAUGAUUCCUGGUUGUUGAUACAAGAUAUUUCGUAUCUUUCUGGAUUUUGAUAUAACCUGAUCCUUGUGUAAGUCAUGUUUAUAAGAUAAAUUUAUUUGUACUUUGUUUUAUAUUUUUCAGAUAAUUACACCAGCCCACCAGAUCUUCAAAAAGAGGGGCCAAUUAUAUUCAAAUAUUGAGUCUCUCUCUCUCUCUCUCUCUCAAUUAACAUGAUUUACCCCAGGGGGGUUGGAUGGCCGGUCUGUCAUUGAGUCAACUGGCGGGGUUUCGAUUCCCCGGUUGUACGUGACAAGGAGUAGGGAUGCCUGUCCAACCUUGUGGGUUUUCUCCGGGUCCGCCGGUUUCCUCCCACUUCUAAAGAUACCUACGGCCAAGCGAUUUAUUGAAAAAAAAUGGAACCAUGUAUUAGUCCCGAAACGACCUAGUUUGUUUCGAGUGGAUGUUAAACACCAUUUCUCUCAUCUUUCAUAGCAGCAUAACUAUAGCAAAUUAAUAAUGAAAUACUGAAAUAAUUUAAAUAUCGGUGAAUUCUCUAUACUUAUUAAAGAUGCAAUAUGUAAGGUUUUUUUUUUUGACUUCAAAUGAUAUAUAAAUUAAUAUUUAGACAUUUAUUUAGACUAUCAGAUGUAAACAGAUUGAAAUACAAUCGCUAUUUAAUGAUUUAAUUUUUAAAAAAUGAGUCUCGAUUAACAAGUAACGUUGCUAUGGUAAUAAACAAUCUAUGUCAAAACUUCAAACAGUUAUAAAGUCACACAGAAUAAAACAAUUUGAAUGAAAUUUUCAAUAUAAUUUAGUUCUGAAUGAUCUAUUUUUGAACUAUUAUAGCAAGAACGGUCAACUCUAUCUGAAUCUUACAUAAUGCAUCUUUAAUUGUGUAAUCCUGAUUUUAUUUUUAUCUUUUGAAUUUUUUAGUUUCUGUAAUUACAGGCCUGGAAAUAACGGUUUUAGAUGUACCUGACAAAAUGAAAUAGUACCGGACAUUUUCAACUUAGUGCCGGACAUGUAUUAAUAAUAUCAAUAAAAAAGACAAAUCAGCGCUGGACAAAAUGACAGGCACCAGAGGCUUUGUGUGCCUGACAUUGUCUGUGACAGGGGCCUUAUUUCCAGGCUUGUAAAUUUCCUAUUUCACUAUCCUAUAUAAUGUUUUAAAUUAUAACAAUUUUUGUAACAUACAUAUAUAUUUAUUUAUUAAAUUAUACAUUUACUUCA